GGUCAAGCGAAUAAGCGCACACGGUGGAUGCCUUGGCGGUCAGAGGCGAUGAAGGACGUGGCAGCCUGCGAAAAGUAUCGGGGAGCUGGCAACAAGCUUUGAUCCGGUAAUGUCCGAAUGGGGAAACCCACCCGCUUGCGGGUAUCCUGCAGUGAAUACAUAGCUGCUGGAAGCGAACCUGGUGAACUGAAAUAUCUAAGUAACCAGAGGAAAAGAAAUCAACCGAGAUUCCGUAAGUAGCGACGAGCGAACGCGGACUAGCCCUUAAGCUGAUUUGGUUCUAGGAAAACGCUCUGGAAAGAGCGGCCAUAGAAGGUGAUAGCCCUGUAUCUGAAAGGGCCAUUUCAGUGAAGACGAGUAGGGCGGGGCACGUGAAACCCUGUCUGAACAUGGGGGGACCAUCCUCCAAGGCUAAAUACUACUGACCGACCGAUAGUGAACCAGUACCGUGAGGGAAAGGCGAAAAGAACCCCGGAGAGGGGAGUGAAAUAGAACCUGAAACCGUGUGCGUACAAGCAGUAGGAGCUCCGCAAGGAGUGACUGCGUACCUUUUGUAUAAUGGGUCAGCGACUUACUGUUCGUGGCAAGCUUAACCGUAUAGGGGAGGCGAAGGGAAACCGAGUCUGAUAAGGGCGCAUAGUCGCGGGCAGUAGACCCGAAACCGGGUGAUCUAGUCAUGCCCAGGGUGAAGGUGCGGUAACACGCACUGGAGGCCCGAACCCACUCCCGUUGCAAAGGUAGGGGAUGAGGUGUGAUUAGGAGUGAAAAGCUAAUCGAACCCGGAGAUAGCUGGUUCUCCUCGAAAGCUAUUUAGGUAGCGCCUCAUAUGUAUCCUCUCGGGGGUAGAGCACUGUUAUGGCUAGGGGGUCAUCGCGACUUACCAAACCAUUGCAAACUCCGAAUACCGAGACGGACUGUAUGGGAGACACACGGCGGGUGCUAACGUCCGUCGUGAAAAGGGAAACAACCCAGACCCACAGCUAAGGUCCCAAAUUCACUGCUAAGUGGAAAACCAUGUGGAAAGGCACAGACAGCCAGGAGGUUGGCUUAGAAGCAGCCACCCUUUAAAGAAAGCGUAAUAGCUCACUGGUCGAGUCGGUCUGCGGGGAAGAUUUAACGGGGCUAAGCAGUGAACCGAAGCUUGGGGUGCAUAACUUUGUUAUGCGCGGUAGAGGAGCGUUCCGUAAGCCGUUGAAGGUGGAUUGAGAAGUCUGCUGGAGGUAUCGGAAGUGCGAAUGCUGACAUGAGUAACGAUAAUGCGGGUGAAAAACCCGCACGCCGAAAGCCCAAGGUUUCCUUGCGCAACGUUAAUCGGCGCAGGGUGAGUCGGCCCCUAAGGCGAGGACGAAAGUCGUAGUCGAUGGGAAGCAGGUUAAUAUUCCUGCACCUCGCGUAAGUGCGAUGGAGGGACGGAGAAGGUUAGGUGUACCAGGCGUUGGUUGUCCUGGGGAAAGGCGGUAGGUUUGGAUCUUUGGCAAAUCCGGGAUCCUUCAAGACCGAGCACCGAGACGAGCCUUUAUGGCAAAGUCACUGAUACCACGCUUCCAGGAAAAGCUCCUAAGCUUCAGCUUACGCAGACCGUACCGUAAACCGACACAGGUGGGUAGGAUGAGAAUUCUCAGGCGCUUGAGAGAACUCGGGUGAAGGAACUAGGCAACAUGGCACCGUAACUUCGGGAGAAGGUGCACCCUUUUUGGUGGCUCAUGCGAGCUAUAGCUGAAGAGGGUCGCAGUAACCAGGCCGCUGCGACUGUUUAUCAAAAACACAGCACUCUGCAAACACGAAAGUGGACGUAUAGGGUGUGACGCCUGCCCGGUGCUGGAAGGUUAAUUGAUGGGGUCAGCCGCAAGGCGAAGCUCUUGAUCGAAGCCCCAGUAAACGGCGGCCGUAACUAUAACGGUCCUAAGGUAGCGAAAUUCCUUGUCGGGUAAGUUCCGACCUGCACGAAUGGCGUAACGACAGCGGCGCUGUCUCCACCCGAGACUCAGUGAAAUUGAAAUCGCUGUGAAGAUGCAGCGUUCCCGUGGCAAGACGGAAAGACCCCGUGAACCUUUACUAUAGCUUUACACUGAACGUUGAGUUCGUCUGUGUAGGAUAGGUGGGAGGCUAUGAAACUGUGGCGCUAGCUGCAGUGGAGCCAUCCUUGAAAUACCACCCUGUCGUGCUUGACGUUCUAACCUGGGCCCAUUAUCUGGGUCGGGGACCGUGUAUGGUGGGUAGUUUGACUGGGGCGGUCUCCUCCUAAAGAGUAACGGAGGAGCUCGAAGGUACGCUCAGCGCGGUCGGACAUCGCGCACUGUGUGCAAAGGCAUAAGCGUGCUUGACUGCAAGAUCGACGGAUCAAGCAGGUAGGAAACUAGGACUUAGUGAUCCGGUGGUUCUGUAUGGAAGGGCCAUCGCUCAACGGAUAAAAGGUACUCCGGGGAUAACAGGCUGAUACCGCCCAAGAGUUCAUAUCGACGGCGGUGUUUGGCACCUCGAUGUCGGCUCAUCACAUCCUGGGGCUGUAGUCGGUCCCAAGGGUAUGGCUGUUCGCCAUUUAAAGUGGUACGCGAGCUGGGUUCAGAACGUCGUGAGACAGUUCGGUCCCUAUCUGCCAUGGGCGUUGGAGAUUUGAGAGGGGCUGCUCCUAGUACGAGAGGACCGGAGUGGACGAACCUCUGGUGUUCCGGUUGUCACGCCAGUGGCAUUGCCGGGUAGCUAUGUUCGGAAGCGAUAACCGCUGAAAGCAUCUAAGCGGGAAGCGCGCCUCAAGAUGAGAUCUCCCGGGGCACAAGCCCCCUGAAGGAACCAUGUAGACUACGUGGUUGAUAGGUCAGGUGUGUAAGUACAGCAAUGUAUUGAGCUAACUGAUACUAAUGAUCCGAGAGGCUUGACCAU
rnacentral:rRNA from 1 species